UUGUGCCGAUCUGGUAAUUUAAAUAGAGCAUUUGAGUUUCUAAAUCUUAUGCCUAUGGUGGCAGAUGUGGUUUUGUGGAGAAUGUUGCUUAGUGCUUGUAAACUUCACGGUAAUGUGGUUCUUGCUGAAAUCGCUGCGAACAAACUUCUUCAAUUAGAUCCUGAUAAUGGUGGUAAUUAUGUUCUGUCAUCAAGCACUUACGCCACUGCAGAGAGAUGGGACGAUGCAAUGAAAA
rnacentral:misc_RNA from 1 species